CCAUCACCAUGUUUUCUCCGUCGAUUCUGAGAUGGUAAAUGUAUUGACUAUUGAUUCAAGUUUGUUCAUUGUAUUAUAUAGUUGAUCUUCAGACAUUUUUCCCAGUAAGACAACUCUUUUACCCAUAACCUGUAUUUGUUCUAGCCUGCUUAGUUAAAUUCAUAUCCAUAUGGAGUUUUGGCAUGCAUUUGGCUUCAGUUGGUUAGUUGGAUAGUUAAAUUUUGAGAAUUAGCAUUGAUUAGUCUCAUUGGUAAAUUAACUAUGUUUAGAAGAAAGGUUGUGGGGCCGUUGUAACAUCUAAUUAGGCGUUUAUAGAAGCGAUGAUUAGUCUCAUUGGUAAAUUUUUAUUCUUAGCUGAAUUUUUAUAUUCAUUAUAAUGUCGAAGAGUGGAAUGCCGACCCCUAAUUUUUUUAACCUUUGUGGAAAUUCUAAAUCACAAAACCUAAACUUAACCUUUGUUCGUUCAUUCUCAAUGGUAAGAACAAGAUCUUUGCAACCAUGAUGUGGUUUAUGAGUUUUCUUAUUCAAGUUCAUGUAUUGCCAAUGGUUCUUACUUAUUUUUAUUUGCUUUUUUUCUUGAUUAUAAUUGGUACAAAUGUCUAAAAUGUGGUAUCUAUUUUGUCUCCUUUUUUUAUCGGUCAGGACCAAUAUUUAAGGCACAGCUCAUGUCGAAGAUUGCUGAGAAGAAAAUUAAGGAGGCCGAUAGGAUGGUUUCACACACUACUUAGUUAGUGAUUAUUUUUUAUUUUUUUUGGGAAAUGUAUUUGAUUUUUAGGUGUUUUAGAAUUUUGGAUCUGGAUUUUGUAUGAAUAUUGUUACAUUUUAGAGUUCAAUUAAUAAUGAUUAUUGGAGUUAUUUGA
rnacentral:lncRNA from 1 species